UACUUUUGUGUGAUCAAGUUUUCUGUAAA
rnacentral:piRNA from 1 species